AAUGAACGUUGGCGGCGUGGAUUAGGCAUGCAAGUCGAGCGCGAUACCUCCUUCGGGAGGUGGAAAGCGGCGAAAGGGAGAGGAACACGAGGAUUAUCUACCCCUGGACCCAGGAUAGCUGCGGGAAACUGCAGGUAAUACUGGAUGAUGUCUCCGGACCAAAGGUGUGAUUCCGUCCAGGGAUGAGUUCGCGUCCUAUUAGCUAGUUGGCAGGGUAACGGCCUACCAAGGCAAUGAUGGGUACCGGGUGUGAGAGCAUGGCCCGGCUCACUGGGACUGAGCCGCUGCCCAGACACCUACGGGUGGCGGCAGGCGAGGAUCUUCGGCAAAGGGCGCAAGGCUGACCGAGCGACGCCGCGUGCGGGAUGAAGGCCUUCGGGUUGUAAACCGCUGUCAGAGGGGAUGAAAUGCGGGUGGGUUCUCCCAUUCGUUUGACAUAUCCUCAGAGGAAGUACGGGCUAAGUUCGUGCCAGCCGCCGCAGUAAAAC
rnacentral:rRNA from 1 species